rnacentral:rRNA from 1 species
AGAGUUUGAUCCUGGCUCAGGAUGAACGCUGGCGGCGUGCUUAACACAUGCAAGUCGAACGAAGCACUUUAUUUGAUUUCCUUCGGGACUGAUUAUUUUGUGACUGAGUGGCGGACGGGUGAGUAACGCGUGGGUAACCUGCCUUGUACAGGGGGAUAACAGUUGGAAACGGCUGCUAAUACCGCAUAAGCGCACGGCAUCGCAUGAUGCAGUGUGAAAAACUCCGGUGGUAUAAGAUGGACCCGCGUUGGAUUAGCUAGUUGGUGAGGUAACGGCCCACCAAGGCGACGAUCCAUAGCCGACCUGAGAGGGUGACCGGCCACAUUGGGACUGAGACACGGCCCAAACUCCUACGGGAGGCAGCAGUGGGGAAUAUUGCACAAUGGGCGAAAGCCUGAUGCAGCGACGCCGCGUGAAGGAAGAAGUAUCUCGGUAUGUAAACUUCUAUCAGCAGGGAAGAUAAUGACGGUACCUGACUAAGAAGCCCCGGCUAACUACGUGCCAGCAGCCGCGGUAAUACGUAUGGUGCAAGCGUUAUCCGGAUUUACUGGGUGUAAAGGGAGCGCAGGCGGUGCGGCAAGUCUGAUGUGAAAGCCCGGGGCUCAACCCCGGUACUGCAUUGGAAACUGUCGUACUAGAGUGUCGGAGGGGUAAGCGGAAUUCCUAGUGUAGCGGUGAAAUGCGUAGAUAUUAGGAGGAACACCAGUGGCGAAGGCGGCUUACUGGACGAUAACUGACGCUGAGGCUCGAAAGCGUGGGGAGCAAACAGGAUUAGAUACCCUGGUAGUCCACGCCGUAAACGAUGAUACUAGGUGUCGGGGAGCAUGGCUC